GGCAGGGUUGCGCACGGUGCGCCUCGGGUUAAUCUUCGGAGAUCAUUGUUUUAAGCCAUCCCGGAGUUCCUCGUUCGACUCGAGGCCCUGCCA